rnacentral:piRNA from 1 species
UGCUUAAGGCAUAGGACACAGCUUGGGGU